rnacentral:rRNA from 1 species
GACAGAGGCCUCAAGCGUUAGGCGGAAUCACUGGGCUUAAAGCGUGUGUAGGCGGAUCGUUAAGUGUCCUGUGAAAUCCCACGGCUCACCCGUGGAACUGCUGGGCAUACUGGCGACCUUGGGCCAACUAGGGGCAACUGGAACAAGCGGUGGAGCGGUGAAAUGCGUAGAUAUCGCUUGGAACGCCGAAGGUGAAAACAGGUUGCUGGGGUUGUGCCGACGCUGAGACACGAAAGCCAGGGGAGCAAACGGG